rnacentral:rRNA from 1 species
ACUAAGGCUAAAUAUCACUGUGAGACCGAUAGCAAACAAGUACCGUGAGGGAAAGUUGCAAAGCACUUUGAAGAGAGAGUGCAAUAGGACGUGAAACCGCUUGCAGGGAAACAGAUGGACCCACGAAGUCCUGUGUAAAGCUUGAUAGUUGUAAUGAUUACCAAGUACUAUACACGCGGAGCUCUGACUUGUAAGGCGAUAUAAGUAGUUGAUGUAUAGUGUAGUGU